rnacentral:rRNA from 1 species
GACGAACGCUGGCGGCGUGCUUAACACAUGCAAGUCGAACGGACACUUUUAAUGAGCUUGCGAUUUGAAAGUGUUAGUGGCGGACGGGUGAGUAACACGUGGAUAACCUGCCUCACACUGGGGGACAACAGUUAGAAAUGACUGCUAAUACCGCAUAAGCGCACAGUACCGCAUGGUACAGUGUGAAAAACUCCGGUGGUGUGAGAUGGAUCCG